GGCUUGGUGCUGUAGCGGUAACACACCUGCUCUAUUUUCCAUGUGUUCACCUAGAUUCAGCAGGAGAUUCCUUGUUCGAUCCAAGGCCAGGCCA